AUGGGAAGGUACGCGGUACGCACGUACUACCAGCCGCGCCAUGCAAAGGAUAAUUCCCCGUGGGGCGGCAGCGGGAAGCAGCUGUAUGGCAGAGGCCGCGGGCGAUCCGGCAGCGGCAGGCUUCCCCGUGCCUGCUGCCGCACGGCGACACGCCCCGCCCCCGCGGCCGGCUCCCGCGGGUCUCCGAUCCCUACCCUGCAUGCACCGCAGCGCACUCGUGCGAUCGCCACCCACGGUGAACAGUCGGCGUCGGUAAAGCUAGCUGGCUGCUCCAGCUCCGCCAGCGCCGCCGGAUGUUACUUUGGCGCGCCGACCUGGUUUCCCCCGCUCGCCGACGUCGACGGGCAAGUGUGCAACAGCUGGCUCUGCCGGGCCCCGCUGUACGGUGACGCGACGUCACCGGAGCCGCCGCUUUCCUUUGCCGAGUGCAUGGGCAUCUGCGAGCUGGGCACCGCGCCCGAUCGAUCGGCCAAGAGAAUUCUUGAUUUGCUGCUGCUUUUGGAUUUUGAUUGCUAUGAAUAA
rnacentral:rRNA from 1 species